rnacentral:rRNA from 1 species
UACGAGGGGGGGCAAGCGUUGUUCGGAAUUAUUGGGCGUAAAGGGCGCGUAGGCGGUGCGGUAAGUCACCUGUGAAAACUCUGGGCUCAACUCAGAGCCUGCAGGCGAAAACUGCCCGUGCUGGAGUGUGGGAGAGGUGCGUGGAAUUCCCGGUGUAGCGGUGAAAUGCGUAGAUAUCAGGAGGAACACCGAUGGCGAAGGCAGGUCUCUGGGCCGAUACUGACGCUGAGGAGCGAAAGCAUGGGUAGCGAACAGG